rfam:Hirsutella minnesotensis 3608 unplaced genomic scaffold MNSD_Scf_50, whole genome shotgun sequence.
GCCCGGUUAGCUCAAUCGGUAGAGCGUGAGACUCUUACGAGAGUACACGAAAUCUCAAGGUUGCGGGUUCGACCCCCGCAUCGGGCU